ensembl:lncRNA
GGCUCAAAUCCAGACUGCGUUUCUAUCAAAGUGGCCCACCUUCCCUGUGGCCGUCAUGGUUGCUGUAUGGACAGUGGAGGGGACAUGGAUGCCUCGUUUGUCAUGCCACUUUACUAACAGCUGUUGACAUUUUUUAUUUUGUAUAACGUGUCAUUUGGAAUGGCAGUAGCAUUGUUGAUGAAAUGCAGUCAUCGCAGCAGAACUAGGAAGCGGUAAAGAGGGUAGCAAAGAAGGGAGUAGCAAACGUAGGAUCUGUGCUCCAGAAUUCUCUUAGGGAGUUCUUCUUUACUAUCCCCAUGAGAAGGACUGUCACCAGUAAGGUAUACAUUUCACUAAUUGUGGUUGUCCCCCCAUUCUCUUGGCUCUCUCUUCUCCUGUAGCUCCAAGGCAUAGUGAUUGGUCUCGGUUAUGUCUCCCUCCAGCUCCUCUGUCAGAAAGAACUUGAAGCACUCUGCCUCAGAUGGAAAUGGCAAGGGGCGUUGCACUCCAGACUGGGAGUCAAAGCAAACAGCAGGGCCAGGAGGGGUGAAAUUGCUGGCAGCCUUCCAGCUACCACAGAACUCCUGUACUUCAUCCAUUGUUGGCCUGCCUCCAUCACCACCAGCAUCUUCAAAGGGACCUGGGACUUCGUCAGUGGACAAGGGUCCUCAGAUUCAGGGUUCUCAAUGGCUACAAGGUUGGGGGGCAGCUCCUCACUGUCAGAAUCUGAUUCCUGACUUUCAGACUCAUUGUCAGAAUUUUUUUAAAUCUCAAGAAUUUCCACAUUUGUGAGUUGUCUCCUUUUGAAAGACAUUGCUAAUGCUACAGCUUAGCUCACUAGCUACAUACAUAAACAACAACACUGAAUGGCUCAGAGUGGGAGUGAGAGGUUAUGUGAUUGACAGCCGGCACGGGCCACUUGUAGAAAUAAAUCACUAUCAGAAAAUGCUUGUGGUAAUUAUUUCUAUAUAUACUGUUUGAUUCACUUUUUUUUAAAC